UACGUAGGGGGCAAGCGUUGUCCGGAAUCAUUGGGCGUAAAGAGCGUGUAGGUGGUUCAGUAAGUCUGCUGUGAAAGUCCAGGGCUCAACCCUGGGAUGCCGGUGGAUACUGCUGAGCUAGAGUACGGAAGAGGCGAGUGGAAUUCCCGGUGUAGCGGUGAAAUGCGCAGAUAUCGGGAGGAACACCUAUUGCGAAGGCAGCUCGCUGGGACGUUACUGACACUGAGACGCGAAAGCGUGGGGAGCAAACAGG
rnacentral:rRNA from 1 species